AGAGAGAGAGAACUGGUAUGUGCACCGGCGUAACCCUAAAACGAAUGGCGAGCAGUGGAUAGUUUUAAGGCGACUAAACGUGUUCUAGGCGGGGGAUUACGCAGUUUGUAUGCGUGUUUUCUGAUCUGCGGAUUAUAUUUAGCCUGCCACUCCUUAGUCACUCCGGUAUCUCUUGCCUCUCCGCUCUCGCUUGCCGGCUCGUUCGCCCGUGUCAUAACGAGAGUCGCAUGUGCAUCAUACUUCGCACCGAAUCCUCAUUAACGACCGAAACAUGGGUUUAAUAGACGGUAGUAACGCGACGGUAGUACUUGCGGAAACCGUUGGACAGCGUUACAUUAUCGAUAUCAAAGGAGCGACGGUGGCAAUAUAUGUAGAAAACGUGAUAAUUAGCACAUGUAACACGAUUUCGAAAAGUAUUAUACGUACAUUGGGCGGAGAUUAUACCUAUAUACAAAACUAGAAAGGUGUAUCAGAUAACGACAACAAAUCAUGCAAAAGAUGCCGAGAAAGUGGUGUUACAGGAAAUAUACGCUAGUCUAAAAGAAUCAUUUAUGUAAAAUUAAUAGAGUAAUUAGCUUUCAUAUGUGAAAUUGUUGAUGUAGAUCUAUCUUAAUCUAUGGGUAACAGCUUUUGAAAGGACGAUAUUGAAAGUAUAAUAAAAUAUUAUGUAAUUGAC